UACAGAGGGUGCGAGCGUUAAUCGGAGUUACUGGGCGUAAAGCGCGCGUAGGCGGCCCGGUAAGUCCGCUGUGAAAGUCAAAGGCUCAACCUUUGAAUGUCAGCGGAUACUGCCGGGCUAGAGUCCGGAAGAGGCGAGUGGAACUCCUGGUGUAGCGGUGGAAUGCGCAGAUAUCAGGAAGAACACCAACGGCGAAGGCAGCUCGCUGGGACGGAACUGACGCUAAGGCGCGAAAGCGUGGGGAGCGAACAGG
rnacentral:rRNA from 1 species